GCUAAUUUUUCGGUGAUUUGUUCAACUAGUUUACCCGAGACAGAUAUAUUGUCACUGAGUUUGGGGAACAAUUCCCGCCGAAAUUCAGGAGGUUUGAAUAUAGGACUAGGCUCUAUCCCAUUAUUUGUAUUAGGCCUAGGGAUACUUAAACUAGGGGUUAAUUUAGGAUUUGUUUCCUCAAUUUGCAGGGAAACAGUGUGCAGCAACUUAUU
rnacentral:lncRNA from 1 species